AUUGUUUUAUAAAUGUUAAAUCCUAUUAACAGUAGCAAGUGGACCUGUGCGUCACCCAUAGUUAAAAGGAAAGAAAGCCUCCAGCAUCUCCACACAGAAACACGUCCCAAACGCAGCUGUUUGACAAGCAGUGAUGUGCAUUGUGAGGCUUUUCCUGUGUUCUUGAGAAGUAUCUGACAAGGGAAGCAAGCCCCGAAAAGUGGUUUUGCGUAUUCCUCUGGCUGCAGAGAGCAUGAGAGGACAGUUGGGAGCAUCUGCAGUGGUGAUGCCCACUGGUGGACUUUUCCCCAAUGAUUCGCAGUUGUCUCGUACUCAGGACUGACAGGAGAGUGAUCGCUUGCAGAAGGUCCUUCUUCCCUAUCGGUCGUGUAAGAGCCCAAACAAGACGACAACCACUGAGCCUGCUUCCAUUUGAGCCAGAGACGGAACAAGAAGACAAAAUUUGAAGCUGAAACCAAGGAAUGCAUUUAGAGCCUAAUGAAAACAUUUACUAUUUUCCCUUCUUCACACUACUACUUACACACUCAUCUUCAGCUGUGCACAGUGUUCCCUGCCAAAAACACGACUGUAUCCUUUGUGUUACUAAGGCAAGAGACAGAAAACAUCCCUGAGGCUCUGGCAGCACAGACUCUUUGAGACUGUCCCCACAGGCACAUUCCUAUUUCUGCUACAUGAACCCAUAGCUAUUUAUUCUGAAGAAGAGAAGUGGCAGGUGGCUGUGCCUACACCCCUGCACUUCUGUGCCACAGCACUGUUUGCGGUGUGUAAAGCAUGAGGAGGGACAGCAAGGAACCAGCCCCUUUGCCCAGGAGAAAUGCUUGUCACAACAGCACGCUGGGACUUGGAGGGGACCAGACAGCGGGUGAAGAAAAACAAACUUGGAGAACUGCUGACCUGUGCCUCCGAUGCAUCCAUUUUCUUCUGAGUCUCUGGAAAUUCUGUACUGGAACGACGAACAAUUUGGGGAAUCUGUCCAUUUGCCUGAACAGCACCUGUGACAAGGGGAGGAGACAGAAGGGAAAGAGUGUUACAAUUUCAUGAUCUUAACCAGAUGAGGGAAUAACAAACUAAGAAUAAGGCUAUGAAAACGUCUUUACAACUUCCAGCAAGGAACCACUCAUUACAGGUUUUAUACAUAAUUCAGUAAAAUCCAUGAGGAUGUCUGUCCUCUACUUCAGGUUUAUUUUGUGACUGGUCAAAUCAGUUCAUUACAUAAGGACAAUAAACAUAGUAUCUUGCAUUACAACUAAUACCUGUCCACAUGCCUCCAUGGUUGCAGCUGGCAAUCCUCCAGGCAGAGCAAGUGGCAGAAUUAUGAAGACAAAAGACAGAAAUGAUCAGAGUGUGUAAAGGUGUUGACAAAUGAAGAGCUUUUUCUUCUGACUGUGGGAAAUGGUGAUUACAGAAGACAACCGUAAAGGCUGACACGGGAGUAAAGAUGAGGAGCUAAGCAGAAUUCAAACUGGCAUAGUUAAGCCAACCCUCUGGCAUUCUGUUUAAAUACCUGUCUUUCAUACCAGCGUUUUGAAGUCUGUAGUGUGCUGUAAUAUUACUACAUUCUCAGUCUUAUUGCAUGUUUUUUCCUUUAGCCUAAAGACUAAAAGCACUAUAGUUUCAUAUCAAUAACAGUCACGAGAGCUGAAGGUUUGAAAUCCUAUAGGCAGGCUGAUCCAUUUUCCUUGGUAAAUGAGCUAAGAGCUCAGAAACUUCUCCCUCUACCUGAAACUGUGGAAGAUUUGUGAACCUCACUGUGUUCUCAGAUUAGUCUGGAUCUGCUGGCCGACUAAGUUAAAGCUCUGCAAAAUGUUUGCCCACCAUUACUGUGUUUGUGAUGGAUAUACAUAAAUAACCCAGUACUGCAAACGGAGUAAAUGAAUGUGAGACCAAAGGACAAAUUUGUGGGUUUAAUUUGGAAAAAAUCUACAGCCCCUGUACAGUCUGAUGAGGAUUAAAGAAAGUCUCCAGUUUAGUCUGGGGUUUUUGGAAGCUGCACAUGUCAAAGGAUAAUAGCAGAUAGUGUUUGGUGCCUAGAUACACACACUUGUAAACAUUAAUGACUGCCUUAGCUCUACUAUAAUUUACAGCUCUGAGAUCCAGUAAAGUUCCACUCAUGUACUUCUUGGAUGCUAGUGAGCCCUUAGCUGUCUACAAUGUAAGUCUAGGCACAAUGAUGGUUUUAAUCUCAACAUGUACUUUUCUGAUUAGCAAAAAGAUUUCAUGACUAUAAUAAAUAGAAUAAAUUAUUUUAAUUGCCAUGCUGGCAAAUCACACAUUUGACAGAGAAGUAAGACAAACUCUGCGGUGUAUUGAAUUUACUAGGACUAUUUAGGCUUCAAGGGAUGACAGCAGGUGGUCUGAAGUCCUUGUGUUUUAUGCCUCUGCCUGCAUGUUGUUCAGCAUAUUUAAUCCAAAGUACCAUUUUGAUCAUUGAAACUACAGCCUGUGUUUGUUGAAGGACUAACAUAGAAGUCCAAUAAAGAGCUAAAGC